UGUUUUAUAUUUUAUAUCUAAUUGUAAUUAUGUAUUACGUUAUCUAUCAAUUUUUUAUCUUAGGCUUCAAAUUUUACUUGGAUGUCACAGCAAACUGGUGGUGCCAUCCUUGACGAGCCUCCAAACUUUAAAUGGCUUUGUGAUUAAAAAGAUAUUUCAUCAGAAGUCUCUAUAUGUAAGACCAGAUACAACACUGUUGACUUUCCCUGAGGCAUCUCCAUCAGAUUCUGAAAGAGAAAUAAUUGAGGAGCAGAAGAGUGAAAGAGAUCUUGAAUCUUUAGAAA